rnacentral:rRNA from 1 species
GUGCCAGCAGCCGCGGUAAUACGGAGGGAGCUAGCGUUGUUCGGAAUUACUGGGCGUAAAGCGCACGUAGGCGGCUUUGUAAGUUAGAGGUGAAAGCCUGGAGCUCAACUCCAGAAUUGCCUUUAAGACUGCAUCGCUUGAAUCCAGGAGAGGUGAGUGGAAUUCCGAGUGUAGAGGUGAAAUUCGUAGAUAUUCGGAAGAACACCAGUGGCGAAGGCGGCUCACUGGACUGGUAUGACGCUGAGGUGCGAAAGCGUGGGGAGCAAGCAGGAUUAG